CGGCAGCCAUGCCGCGGCAGGGGACAAUAGGGAAACAGGUGCGAAGCCUGUGCGAUCUCGUCACUGUAUGUGGGGAGCUCGCCGCCACGCGUAGGUGCGGUCACUGGCAACAGCUGGGAAGGCGGCGGCGAGCGACGAUCCGCAAGCCAGGAGACCUGCCGUCUGUG
rnacentral:ncRNA from 1 species